CCUACGGGUGGCAGCAGUGAGGAAUAUUGGUCAAUGGCCGAUAGCCUGAACCAGCCAAGUCGCGUGAGGGAAGACUGCCCUACGGGUUGUAAACCUCUUUUGUCUGGGAGCAAAGCGCGGCACGUGUACCUCUUUGCAUGUACCCUAUGAAUAAGCAUCGGCUAACUCCGUGCCAGCAGCCGCGGUAAUACGGAGGAUGCGAGCGUUAUCCGGAUUUAUUGGGUUUAAAGGGUGCGCAGGCGGAUUAGCAAGUCAGCGGUAAAAUGGCGGAGCUCAACCCCGUCCAGCCGUUGAAACUGAAGACCUUGAGUGCGCGAGAAGUAUGCGGAAUGCGUGGUGUAGCGGUGAAAUGCAUAGAUAUCACGCAGAACUCCGAUUGCGAAGGCAGCAUACCGGCGCGCGACUGACGCUCAUGCACGAAAGCGUGGGUAUCGAACAGGAUUAGAUACCCGUGUAGUC
rnacentral:rRNA from 1 species